rnacentral:rRNA from 1 species
UACGAAGGGGGCUAGCGUUGCUCGGAAUCACUGGGCGUAAAGCGCACGUAGGCGGCUUUCUAAGUCAGGGGUGAAAUCCUGGAGCUCAACUCCAGAACUGCCUUUGAUACUGGAGAGCUUGAGUCCGGAAGAGGUGAGUGGAACUCCGAGUGUAGAGGUGAAAUUCGUAGAUAUUCGGAAAGAACACCAGUGGCGAAGGCGGCUCACUGGCCCGGUACUGACGCUGAGGAGCGAAAGCCAGGGGAGCAACGGG